GACGAACCGUCCUAACGUUGUUCGGAUUCACUGGGCUUAAAGGGCGCGUAGGCGGGUGAGCAAGUCCGGGGUGAAAUCUUUCGGCUUAACCGGAAAACAGCCUUGGAUACUGCUCGUCUAGAGGGAGGUAGGGGUCUGCGGAACUUCCGGUGGAGCGGUGAAAUGCGUUGAUAUCGGAAGGAACGCCGGUGGCGAAAGCGGCGGACUGGACCUCUUCUGACGCUGAGGCGCGAAAGCCAGGGGAGCAAACGGGAUUAGAUACCCCAGUAGUCC
rnacentral:rRNA from 1 species